rnacentral:lncRNA from 1 species
AACUGUCAUGGAGUACGUUUGACAGUGUAGAUGUGUUUGUGUUUCAAAAAUAUCGCGAUAUUUCGAGUUUUUAUAAUAACCCCAACAUCUAAUUAACGAAAACAGCUGUGUAUGUGUUGUGCCCAUAAAUUAACACUCGAUUUCUGUCAUAACAUUUUUCCAUUUGGCCGUGAAUGAUGAAAAACCCGGUGACCCCCUGAAAUAGAUUUAAUACUUGUUCAACAAAAAACUUAUCAGCUUUUGGAAUUGUGAGCAACGAGGUAAAGAGCAGAUGUACUCGAUCAGUGACCGCAGCACAUGUAAGGUUAUUAAAUGCAAAUGUUUAUUAAGAAACAGACUGACUCCCGCGGGACAUGGUAGAUAGCUCAGUUAGUGAGAGUAUAGACAGGAAUAGUUUAGAUCAUGGCUUCAAACCCCACCCGAUGU